rnacentral:lncRNA from 1 species
GCAGAAGGAAAAUAUUAGUGAACCCUCAAAAAAUAGGUAGACCUUUAAAGGUGCUACUACAGAACUUAUAAUUUUGAUACAAAUCCUUUUGAGUUUUUUGUAGCAAGGAGUUUGAUGUGGACUUGUAUGUCCAGCAUUCAAGAGUUAUGAAGAACAUAUUUCAUUCAGUUACCUAAUCUUUUUGAAGGCAUUAUAUGUUCUUUAGAUAAUGUCGUAAAAAGCAGAUUCUCUUGUGCUCUAUUUUGGGAACUUAUGAGACUACAAAAUGAUGAGUCCUUUUUAAUAAGAAAAAGUUUGUAAAUUGACACUGUAUUAUGCUAUUAUUCCCUUUUAGCAAAGCAAGAAAUACUGACUUGCUGCAAACAUCCCAUCUGUGAACUCCAACAAGCUUGGCAUGAAGAGCCCUUCUUACAUCUUGUCGGUUUAAGUAAUUGACAGUUUUGUCGUCGAUGCAGACAUCUAUCUUCUCAGCAUCAGCGUUUUCCUAGUAAUUAGUAUCAGUAAAACAUAGUCAAUAUAGUUCGAUAUGACAUCGGCGAACUCCAACAAGAUUGGCAUGAAGAGCCCUUCUUACAUCUUGUCGGUUUAAGUAAUUGACAGUCUUAUCGUCGAUGCAGACAUCUAUCUUCU